UAUGAUAGGAGCCCGAACAUGUUCAGGAGGAAAUGCGGUAAUUUCCGAAAGAAUAAGUAAUCUCUGGGGCGGGCGCUGUGGGAUUGUGGCAUCGACUCGUGGUGGUAUUAUAAAAGAAACUAUUCUCCAGAUCAGGGCCAGAUAAUCAAUGCCACAAGCCGCUGUGUGGAAAUGUAUGAAGCACAACUAGACGAUUACAGUGGAAGCGCUGUCCUCUUGUGGCCAGAAAGAAUGUGACACGGCACUCGUCAGCUACCGGCAUCAUCGGCGCGCUGCAGUCAGAGGAGGCUGGAGGACUGCAAUAUGCCAGCUGUUUGGAGAAACACGUUCAGAGGGUACAGUCACGGCGGUGUGGGUAGCGGACGCCCACUAACCCUAUCGGAAUCCCCAAUACGUGGGGCCCUCCAGCGGAAAUCGAUCGUUUCUUCACGUCACUGAACGUAAUGAAGAGUAAACACAUUCACAGCCCUGUGGACGAUGUCGUACACAUAGACGUCGGGGUCGAUGUCCCUGGAUUACGGCAUAACUCUCUUCAGAACCAUCGAUCCUGGCUUUAGAACCGGAAGUCCUGCUAAUGAAACAAAGAUGGCGGUCAAUUACCGGUAAUCUGACAAUUGGAGAAGACUGUGAAGAUUUCGGUGUCAAUGGAGGCGCGACAAGUAUUGGACACGCCCGUUAAAAUGAUUCUCUGUUGCACUGAAACAUAAAAAGUUAAUUGACAUCAAACAUCCUUAUAAAAAAAAUUUCAAGGACGUUCUUUCAUGUGCUGAGGGUGUUAUUUACAAGGGAAUAUUGCUAUUCUUGAACACAAAUGUCAUAUUUCUUGUCGUGAAAGGGUAUCCCACGACUUCACGCCAUCAGUGGGAUAUGAAAUAUUAUAUCAGAUUCGUACACACAAGGUCAUUAAGACAAUUGGUCUCCUUCAACAAGUCAACAAGCAGGUAGAAGUUAACGACACGGUUUAUGAUUUCGCCCGCCCUCCAAUCAGGUGUUCGAUCCUUCGACAUUGUCUCUGUGUUAUGCUAGCUAAGAUUUCGAUUACACAAAUACAUUACAGGUAUCAAAUAUUCAUAACACGUUUGAAUGGCGAUUCCACAGCUCAGACACAUUGAUCUAAUAUUGGCUUUCUCGGUAAUUAUCCUUUGUGGACAAAUAAUCUGCUGUGAGCCGACACGGUUGAAUUGUGAUCGCUGUGGAGGUGGCAAUGACAGGAGCAGCCAUGCAUGGAAAGAACAAGUCAAGCUAUUAGCAGCUCCUUUAGGGAGAUUCCAACAAAGACCAAAUGCUCUUUGUGAAAACAGCCGAAGCAUAUACAGCUCGAUCUUUGCUAAGAAUAACCUUGGCUUUUUUACGCUUAUCUGCCCUGAAGGGCUCGGAAGAGGGUGAGAUUAAGUUAUGUUCAUAACCACGCCCAGCUAUUAAUGCGUGAGUGCUUGAGUUGGUUUAACGCAGCUUUUUAAAGGGGCAGCUUAAUCUGGGAAGAAAUCCCGAAGUGGUGCGGGUCUUAGUUGUUAUCACAUUGGUCAAACUAACGAGUAUUGUGCUGACAAACCUGGACAUGUAAUCUAUGUUGUGAACCUGUAGUCAUGCGUUUCUGGCACUUCUGAGGGACGCAGCUCUCCACGGCAACUUCCGGUCGCGCAGGAGACUGCCCCAGUCGUGUGUAAAUAAUGUUUAACGAUACAGUCAGGGAUAUCCCAUCGGAUGUUGACAGAUAAUCCACUGAAUGACAUCAUGAGCAUCGAUCUUCGAAACUAGGAUACGAUGACAUGCGUCAACCAAUCAGCAAGCCUGACCACUCGGUCGCGUCAGUCGCCUUGCCGAACUGGUAUCUUCACGGGUUCUUGCGGAAGGGAAUGGUUUAUCGGAUUGGUUCAAUACUACUUUUGGUGUGAGUUUUUCGGACUGCAGUGGUAAUUGCGUUCCUUUGUGUGUGUUAUCGGUGUGUUUGGAUUAACACUGUUGUCUUCCUGGGCUCACAAUCGGUAAACUUUUUUACGAAA